rnacentral:tRNA from 1 species
AGUCCUGUAGUGAAAAAUCAUAUUGAAUUGCAAAUUCAAAGAAGCAGCUUCAAUUCUGCCGGGGCUU